rnacentral:rRNA from 1 species
GUCUGACGGAGCAACGCCGCGUGAGUGAUGAAGGUUUUCGGAUCGUAAAGCUCUGUUGUUAGGGAAGAACAAGUGCAAGAGUAACUGCUUGCACCUUGACGGUACCUAACCAGAAAGCCACGGCUAACUACGUGCCAGCAGCCGCGGUAAUACGUAGGUGGCAAGCGUUGUCCGGAAUUAUUGGGCGUAAAGGGCUCGCAGGCGGUUUCUUAAGUCUGAUGUGAAAGCCCCCGGCUCAACCGGGGAGGGUCAUUGGAAACUGGGAAACUUGAGUGCAGAAGAGGAGAGUGGAAUUCCACGUGUAGCGGUGAAAUGCGUAGAGAUGUGGAGGAACACCAGUGGCGAAGGCGACUCUCUGGUCUGUAACUGACGCUGAGGAGCGAAAGCGUGGGGAGCGAACAGGAUUAGAUACCCUGGUAGUCCACGCCGUAAACGAUGAGUGCUAAGUGUUAGGGGGUUUCCGCCCCUUAGUGCUGCAGCUAACGCAUUAAGCACUCCGCCUGGGGAGUACGGUCGCAAGACUGAAACUCAAAGGAAUUGACGGGGGCCCGCACAAGCGGUGGAGCAUGUGGUUUAAUUCGAAGCAACGCGAAGAACCUUACCAGGUCUUGACAUCCUCUGACAACCCUAGAGAUAGGGCUUUCCCUUCGGGGACAGAGUGACAGGUGGUGCAUGGUUGUCGUCAGCUCGUGUCGUGAGAUGUUGGGUUAAGUCCCGCAACGAGCGCAACCCUUGAUCUUAGUUGCCAGCAUUCAGUUGGGCACUCUAAGGUGACUGCCGGUGACAAACCGGAGGAAGGU